CUUGGGUUAUUUUAAGAAGCCUGUUUCUGACAGGAAAGUGUGUGUAUGGCUAAUGGCCUUGUUUGUUGUCUUCCACAGCCUUUGCUUAGUGCCAGUCACCCUUUUACUUUCUAACUGUUCUAAGGCUGAGGUAGAUGUAAUAGUUGAUCUCCGGCAUAAAACAACAAGUCCAGAGGCAUUGGAAACUCACGGAUCAUUCACAUGGCUUGGACAGACACAGUAUAAACUCCAGCUGAAAAGCCAAGAGACGCACAGUUUGCAGCUGAAGGCAUGCUUUGUUCAUACAGGCGUUUAUAACCUUGGAACUCCAAGGGUAUUCGCCAAGUUAUCGGACCAGGUGACAGUAUUUGAAACAAGUCAGCAGAACUCCAUGCCUGCUUUGAUUAUCAUCAAUAACGCGUGACAGCCGAGAGUCACAGACUCAGUCUGACUUUGUGGAGUUGGUUUUACAACAGCGUUUGAAAUACCCAACUUGUUCAGGAAGUUCUCUGAUCACUGCAAAACACAGGGGCUUGGCACUUAGCUGACACAGUAUGCUGGGCUGAGAAUGCUUAGACUCCCCCUUUUUUUUUCCCCUUUUAAACCUGGUAAUAAUUUACAUGCUUAUAAUACAGAAUUCAAUGUAUCCAUACACCUUAAGCCUUAAGUCUUAAAAAAA
rnacentral:lncRNA from 1 species